UACGAAGGGGGCGAGCGUUGUUCGGAUUUACUGGGCGUAAAGGGCGCGCAGGCGGCUCAUUUUGUCAGGCGUGAAAGCCCCGGGCUUAACCUGGGAACUGCGUUUGAUACGGGUGGGCUAGAGUUCGGGAGUGGAGAGUGGAAUUCCCAGUGUAGAGGUGAAAUUCGUAGAUAUUGGGAAGAACACCGGUGGCGAAGGCGGCUCUCUGGACCGAUACUGACGCUGAGGCGCGAAAGCGUGGGGAGCAAACAGG
rnacentral:rRNA from 1 species